GGACUACUGGGGUAUCUAAUCCUGUUUGCUCCCCACGCUUUCGCGCCUCAGCGUCAAUACCGGUCCAGUUGGCCGCCUUCGCCACCGGUGUUCUUCCCAAUCUCUACGAAUUUCACCUCUACACUGGGAAUUCCACCAACCUCUCCCGGAUUCGAGCGCGCCAGUAUCAAAUGCAAUUCCCGGGUUAAGCCCAGGGCUUUCACAUCUGACUUAGCGCACCGCCUACGCGCCCUUUACGCCCAGUAAUUCCGAACAACGCUUGCCCCCUUCGUAUUACCGCGGCUGCUGGCAC
rnacentral:rRNA from 1 species